CGGCAAGAGCUCAAAUUUGAAAUCUGGUUCCUUCGGAAUCCGAGUUGUAAUUUGAAGAGGAGUCUUCGGUUCGGACCACGAUCUAUGUUCCUUGGAACAGGACGUCGUAGAGGGUGAGAAUCCCGUACACGGUUGAUGGUCUCGUUCCAUGUGAAGUUCCCUCGAA
rnacentral:rRNA from 1 species